UACGUAGGGUGCGAGCGUUAAUCGGAAUUACUGGGCGUAAAGCGUGCGCAGGCGGUUCGUUGUGUCGGCGGUGAAAUCCCCGGGCUCAACCUGGGAAUGGCCGUUGAAACUGGCGAACUGGAGUGUGGCAGAGGGGGGUGGAAUUCCGCGUGUAGCAGUGAAAUGCGUAGAGAUGCGGAGGAACACCGAUGGCAAGGACAGCCCCUGGGCUGACACUGACGCUCAGGCACGAAAGCGUGGGGAGCAAACAGG
rnacentral:rRNA from 1 species